rnacentral:rRNA from 1 species
GAUGAACGCUGGCGGCGUGCCUAAUACAUGCAAGUCGAACGCUGAAGCUUGGUGCUUGCACCGAGCGGAUGAGUUGCGAACGGGUGAGUAACGCGUAGGUAACCUGCCUCUUAGCGGGGGAUAACUAUUGGAAACGAUAGCUAAUACCGCAUAAAAGUCGAUAUCGCAUGAUAUUGAUUUGAAAGGUGCAAAUGCAUCACUAAGAGAUGGACCUGCGUUGUAUUAGCUAGUUGGUGAGGUAACGGCUCACCAAGGCGACGAUACAUAGCCGACCUGAGAGGGUGAUAGGCCACACUGGGACUGAGACACGGCCCAGACUCCUACGGGAGGCAGCAGUAGGGAAUCUUCGGCAAUGGGGGCAACCCUGACCGAGCAACGCCGCGGGAGUGAAGAAGGUUGUCGGAUCGUAAAGCUCUGUUGUAAGAGAAGAACGAGUGUGAGAGUGGAAAGUUCACACUGUGACGGUAACUUACCAGAAAGGGACGGCUAACUACGUG